ACUAAACUAGGACUAAAACAGGACUAAACCAGGACUAAAACAGGACUAAACCAGGACUAAAACAGGUCUAAAACAGGUCUAAAACAGGACUAAAACAGGUCUAAAACAGGACUAAACCAGGUCUAAAACAGGACUAAACCAGGUCUAAACCAGGUCUAAACCAGGACUAAACCAGGACUAAACCAGGACUAAACCAGGACUAAACCAGGACUAAACCAGGGACUAAACCAGGACUAAACCAGGUCUAAACCAGGACUAAACCAGGACUAAACCAAGACUAAACCAGGACUAAACCAGGGACUAAACCAGGACUAAACCAGGACUAAACCAG